UACCCCCAGCAAUGGGCAAAGAGACACCUUGUUGGUGUUGUUCUUUAUGAGUCAGGGCCAGAGCAGAUAGCAGUCCUUCUGUUCAUUCUAGCUUGAUGUCUGGCUUGGUGGCCAAACCUGUCUUAUACCUAAGACACAUUA